UACGAAGGGGGCUAGCGUUGCUCGGAAUCACUGGGCGUAAAGCGCACGUAGGCGGAUGUGUCAGUCAGGGGUGAAAUCCCGGAGCUCAACUUCGGAACUGCCUUUGAUACAGCACGUCUUGAGUCCGAUAGAGGUGGGUGGAAUUCCUAGUGUAGAGGUGAAAUGCGCAGAUAUCAGGAAGAACACCCGUGGCUAAGGCGGCUCUCUAGUACGGUACUGACGGCUGAGACGCGAAAGCGUGGG
rnacentral:rRNA from 1 species